GAGCGUUGGGCGGAAUCACUGGGCUUAAAGCGUGUGUAGGCGGAUCGUUAAGUACCUUGUGAAAUCCCACGGCUUAACCGUGGAAUUGCUGGGUAUACUGGCGGUCUUGAGCCACUUAGGGGCUACCGGAACAAAUGGUGGAGCGGUGAAAUGCGUAGAUAUCAUUUGGAACGCCAAUGGUGAAAACAGGUAGCUGGGAGUGUGCUGACGCUGAGACACGAAAGCCAGGGGAGCAAACGGG
rnacentral:rRNA from 1 species